CAGCUAGAUAACAUCACUUUGGUAACUUAUUUAACUAAUUUAACACUUCACAAUAAUGUUCAAUAUGUGCAGGGCAAUCUUUUCUUAUUGUCGAGCCCUUUUUAUGUAUUUGUUAAACAUAUCAGGUCAGUGCAUUUAGAAUUAGACGUACCACAGUCAAAAACACCACUUAUUUACAACUAUUGUUAAAAAAUAUCAUUGCUAUUUCAAAGAGAGUUAUAAUAGACACGGUCACAAAAUACUUAUAACAGAGCACCAGAAUUGAUUUCACUCUCAAUUGCAAUGGGUUUUUUAUCACAGGAAAAGUUGGAUGUGGAACACAGAAUGUCUCUUUAGUAGUGGUAAUUAAGUUUUUUUUUAAAGAUAUUAAAUAAAAAGCGCUGAUGCUUCAUCGUUCUCUGUCUGUUGGAGCACCAAAAGUCCAGACCCACUUACGUCAUCCAGAGGUUCCUGUUUUAUUGUGAUGGAAAUUUUGGAUGGCAGGGACUUCUCCAAGGAAUGAGAUUUGUCCUGUGCCAGUGUGCAGAUGGAUGCAUGGGAUGCCAGAAGCAUUUUCAGCUGCUCUUUCUCCUGUUGCAGGCAGCUCACCUCUGCAGCACGAUCUGCUCCAUGUGCAGGCGCUCAGUCUCCUGAAAACAAAUUCACAGCUGGAUCCCAUUAGCAUGUGCUGCUGGUAAAUACGUAACAGAUUCCCCGAAGCAGAGUGUACUGCAUUUUUAAAAAUAAAGGGUGCAAAAGGAGGUUUUCAUAGCAAUAACAUAGAAGAUCAGGUUCCUUAAAGAACUCUCAUUCUGACGGCACCCAUUCACUACAGAGGAUCCAACAGUGAGCAAGUGAUGUAAUGCUAAAUUUCCCCAAAUCUGUUCUGAUGGAGAAACAAACUCAUCUACAUCUUGGAUGACCUGAGGAAGUCUCAAGUUAAAACUGGACAAACAAGAUGUAUCAGAAAGGUGCACCACCCUGAACACAAUAUGAAAAUAAAAAUGGCAGUGCAGCCCUAUUAUUCACCUCCUGAAGAAGCUUUCUCUGUGAGCUGCUGUGGGUUCUCUGGUCUGCUCCAGACUCUCACUGGGCAUCACAGGCUCGAUUCUCCAGCGCAGCUCUUGUCUCGAUGUGACUGCAUUGACAGUGGCGAUAAAAGGGCUUUUGGAAAUCUGCAUCUCGACCUGGCUGAAAAGAGGAGAGAAACAAAAGAAAGAUGUGUCACUGCAAAAGAUUCUUGUCAGAAGUGCAGUUUAAACAGAGAACAGAGACCAUAUGGGAACAAUGGAACUUCUUGAGUCUGGUAGCCAUUCUGAACAAUUGUACAGUAAUGUUCAUAUCAAUGGAGCCUGAAAUGUGACUCUAUGUAGAAUGCAAAUGAUAGCACUUAAUGCAUUUACAUUCUUUAAGUUUUAAUGUCAAGUUGCUCUAAAACUGUUAUUCUGACACUAUAGCGGACUGCAAUUAAUGACCACUCCUCAGUGGAACCUUCAUGUAUGCAAAUGACACUUGCUUCAUGUUUUUGUCUAGUGACUCUGUAACUUGGCAUCAGAAGUGGGAUUUGAACUCAUACCUCCAUUCAGAGACCAAAAACCUCAUGUCCUGAGAAGGCUGAAAGUGCUUGAGUGUAGCACUCUGCCAUUCUGACACCUAAUGCUGCUAUAUUGUUAAUCAGUCAUAACAGUAAAGCCUGCCUUAUGGCAAUGCAAAUAUGUAAAUUGCAACUAAAUAAAUUAUUUUGAGACUUAGCAGCUUGCUUUUAAUGAUCACUUCAGUGGAGCCUUCAAUAUGACACUGUGUAGAAUGCAAAUGAAAGCACUUAAUGCAUUUACUUUUUUUUAAAUUAAGUUUUGAAUUUUUGUUUGAUUACUUGAAAACCUUUUUAUCACAAGCAGGGUUUGAACUCACGCCUCCUUUCGGAGACCAGAAUGCUCAUUACAGUACCUGAGAAGGUUGCAACACCCUGAGUCUGGUGCCUAACAUGUUGAUGAGUCCAAUCAGUAAAGCCUUCAGUAUGGAAUGGCAAUGGCACUUAAUGCCUUUACGUUCCUUGAGCUUUCAAUUCUUGUGUAGUCACUCUAAAUUGCCAGUAGUGGAAUUUAACCCCAGUUCUCCAUUCAGAAACCAGGAACCUCAUGUCCUGAAAGCCUGGAAAUCCUUGAGUCUGGCAUCUUCUACCACUUGGUCAUCCUGACACCUGAUGCAAGUUAUUUGAUGAUCUGUCCUAUCAGCGUACCCUGUGGUACUGUGUCGCAUGCAGUUUAUACAUUUGUAUACAUGUAGCCUACAUUCUUAUCUAGUCACUCUAAAAGCUAACUGUCAAGACUGGGAUUUGAACCCACAGCUCCAUCAAAGUCCAGAAACCUCAUGUCCUGAAAAUUUGGUAAAUCCUUGAGUCUGAAUCUUAGACUACUUAGACAUUCUUAAAACUGAUUCUGCUUUUUUGAUGAGCCAUCUUAUCAGUGGAGCCUGCAUUUUGGUUUGCAUUCUUUUGAGUUUUGACUUUUUGUCUAAUCGCUCUAAAAGGAUCUUCUCAGAAGUGAGAUUUGAACCUACAGUAUGCCUCCAUUCUGAGACAGGAAGCCUGCACUGGACUAAAUUCAAAGUACUUUUCAAGGCGGUUGCAAUGUCAGGAUUUAUCUCCUGUGGUAUACCUCAGAUAGUACCUUGAAAGGGACUUUGGGUAUACAGAGUGUCCUUUACAAGAGGACAAUAAGACAUACAUGUGGAAGAGGAAACAGAAUGUAUUGUGGUUUACAUCACUGCAUCAUAGCCUGGCUUUGAUUCUCUUUAUGAAGUAAAUUGCUCUUUCUUUCAGUUCCUUAAUGGAAAAUACUACUCACUUGUUUUGGGUCCGUCACAUGUACACAGGAAUUUUGGUCAGAAAAUUUAUUAUUUUGUAUUAUAUUUUUGCAUAUGUAUUAUUUUGAUACUGUCAUGAUAUAUUUUAUUCCAAUGUUUUAUUUUAUUAUUUUAACACCAUCUCACAAAAGUUGCAGUACUUUGGACUGGUUUUGUUUUUGUAGUCUCUUAUAAAGCAUAAC
ensembl:lncRNA